rnacentral:snRNA from 1 species
CUACUGAGAAGGUAUUCACUCACUUCAUGAUCACCAAGGUGGUUCACUCAGGGUGAGGCUCAGCCAUUGCACUCUGGAUUGUGCUGACCCUUGAGAUUUCCCCAAAUGUGGGAAUUCACGAGUGCAUAAUUCCUGUAAUC